ACCUCACCAGAAGACCCCUCCAUCGCCGCCGUCUGCCACAACCGAAAAUCACCUACGGGGCGGUCGACGUCCAACCUACACCAAACUUACAGCAGAAGCCCACCUUAACCUCCUCAUCUCGAAUCCACAACUAGUUUCCCUCAAAACUUGCCCAAAUCCUUCGAAUAUUGAUUUGAAAUCAGGAAUCCUAGUGCUGCCACAAUUUUUCCAAUGGCGGCGUCGCCUCUGUUCAGCCCCAAAUUCACAUCCUAGCACCUCCUUCUCCCCCUCAUUACGAAUCCUCACUUAGAUUCAUUCAAAUACCAUUGAAGAUCUUCAAAUAUCGAAUCAAAGGGUGAAGCCCUCAUUCCUCUAACUCAAAAGUCAGCUGGCUGGUGAAGAUUUUAGACCGUACUGGACCUUAAUUGUGUGUUUUCACAUAAAAAUAGAAGAUUAAGGUCUACUCCGUUCGAAAAUCAAAGGAUUUGUUUUUAACGUUUGUUCAAGACAGACCUAAGUCUCUUUAGGUAUGUUUCAACACUUGAAAGCAUGUGAUAUGUAAAGGGGUAGCUCAAUGAUUAAUAAUGAGAUAUUUGGUCCUAGUUCCUUGAGAUCUGUUCAUGUGUGUCGAAAUUAAUCAUAUGACUUUAGCUAUUUUUCAUUCAGUUUUGAUUAUGCUAUGUAUAUAAAGGUUUUUGAUUGCAUUUGUGGUUUAUUAGUUUGCUUCUAGCUUGACUAUACUCCUUUACCAGUAUUCAUGUUUCAAGACUGUUACAGUGGAAAUGUAAUGAACACUAUUGUUAGUUGAAGUAGUAGUUUAAAUCUAGAAUCUACCAUUGGUAGGUAGAUGUAAUGAUUUUAAGUUGUUCGACGGAGUUAUUUUGUGGGAAUUCUCAAAAUCCAACAGUUAAUUGAAUAGCAGUUUUAAUUGGAAAUGUAUCUAGUUUUGUAUUCAAUAAAGCAUAUUAUUGACGUGGAACCCGACAUUAUCUAAUGAGCUGCAUGAGUCUUUGUUCGCCUAGUAAUUAGGUAUAUAGUUGUGAGUGUUCAAUACAUUUAGUGUCAACUAUUGGAAAACGUUGCACGACUAAUACAUAUGGUGUGUGGAAACUGAUUAAUUUAUAGGUUUUGACUAUAGUUUGUUUUGAAUUGUAAGAUUAGUAAUGGUUUUGAUUGUCAGCUUCCACUUUCCUUUUAAGUUUGGCAAUUUGGUGAUGAGUUUCAAUGUGGAAAUUAAUGUACGUAAAGCCACAUGCCAUUAUUUAGCUUUUAUACAGUGAUAAAUUAGUUAAUUCUGACU